rnacentral:rRNA from 1 species
CGACGAUCCCUAGCUGGUCUGAGAGGAUGACCAGCCACACUGGAACUGAGACACGGUCCAGACUCCUACGGGAGGCAGCAGUGGGGAAUAUUGCACAAUGGGCGCAAGCCUGAUGCAGCCAUGCCGCGUGUAUGAAGAAGGCCUUCGGGUUGUAAAGUACUUUCAGCGGGGAGGAAGGGAGUAAAGUUAAUACCUUUGCUCAUUGACGUUACCCGCAGAAGAAGCACCGGCUAACUCCGUGCCAGCAGCCGCGGUAAUACGGAGGGUGCAAGCGUUAAUCGGAAUUACUGGGCGUAAAGCGCACGCAGGCGGUUUGUUAAGUCAGAUGUGAA